rnacentral:rRNA from 1 species
CCCUUAGAUGUCCUGGGCCGCACGCGCGCUACACUGACAUGUUCAACAAGUUUCUCCUAGUUCGACAGGACUGGGAAAUCUUUGAACGCAUGUCGUGAUAGGGAUAGAUCAUUGCAAUUAUUGAUCUUGAACGAGGAAUUCCUAGUAAACGCGAGUCAUCAGCUCGCAUUGAUUACGUCCCUGCCCUUUGUACACACCGCCCGUCGCACCUACCGAUUGAAUGUUUCGGUGAAGAUUCCGGAUAGGACUGAUUUGAUUUAUUUCAUUUCUGACCUAAAAGCUAUCUAAACCUCAACAUUUAGAGGAGGGUGAAGUCGUAACA